CACUCAGUUAAUGCUUGCAUCAUGACCUUAGAUUAGGCAGAAUUACACUUUAAGUUUAAGCAUAUCUAUAAGCAGAGGAAAAGAAACUUACCAGGAUUCCUCUAGUAAUGGUGAACCCUUGGAAAGCAUCUUCAAUAGUGGAUUGGGCUCAAGUCCCCUGGAAAAUGGCACUAAAGAGGGUGAGAGCUUUAUUGUGCCUAGACCAUGUCACACCACGAUGUGCUAUCUAUGAGGUGGGUUGUUUGGGAAUGGGGCCCUAAUCAGGUGGUAAAUUCUAUCUAAGUUUGAAUAAUGGCAAAAGACCAAUAACAAACAAGUGUCAUGAGGGAAAAAUGAAAAGAACUUCGAAAAGAGAGUCAAAGAGUGCUUGAAAUUGUCAGGAGGAAAGUGGUUGAGGGCCAACGAUGAGCCUCAAUCGGAUGUGGAAUGGUGAGAGUCUGUCUAACGAUCGACUCAAGGUAUGGACCAAUGUAGGUCACGACCAUGACCCAUGCCCAGGCUUUCAAUAUACCCACAGAGAUAUCAUCACCAUGAUCAUGGAAUACAGCAUAUGCCAUCUUGGCAUACCUUGACAUCGACAUCUCUCGAUUUCUGCCUAUGAGCUCUUUAUCUGACUUAUCUUGAAACACGGACUAAGGAGUCUAACAUGUGUGUGCGAGUCAGUAGGUUAGAAAACUUGUAAAGCAUAAGGAAGCUAAUUGGUAGUAUCCCUCGUGCGUGCAUUAUCGACCAACCUUGAUCUUUUAAGAAGGUUUUGAGUGUGGGCAUGGCUGUCAAGACCCAAAAGAUGGUGAACUGUGCCUGAGCAUGGUAAAGCUAGAGGAAACUCUAGUGACGGCUCGUGGUGAUACUGAUGUGCAAAUCAUCCAUCCGACUUAGGUAUAAAGGCAAAAGACUAAUCAAACCAUCUAGUAGCUGGUUCCCUCUAACAUUUCCCUUAAGAUAGCUAGAGCCUUUAGCAAGUUCUAUCAGGUAAAGCCAAUGAUUAGAAGCAUCAGGGGCACAACACCUUCAACCAAUUCUUAAACUUUAAAUAGGUAGGAUGGCAUGGCUACUUUAUUGAGUCGUGCCAUAAAAUCGAGAGCACCAAGUGGGCCAAUUUUGGUAAUCAAAACUGGUGAUACAUGAAGUGAAAGCUAGGUUAUAGUGCCUAACUACAUGCUAAUGUAGAACCCACAAAGGGUGUUGGUUGAUUAAGAUACUAGAAUGGUGCUCAUAGAAGUUAAAAUCUACUAAAGAGUGAGUAACAACUCACCUACCAAAUCAACUAGUCUUGAAAAUGGAUGGCAUUUAACAACACAACCUAUAUCUAAUUGUCAAGGCAAAGGGGUAGCCCUGAUGAGUAAGAGGGUAAGGUGAUCAUCGUAAAACUCGAGGCACGAGCCCAAGUGGAGCAACUAUUAGUGCAGAUCUUGGUGGUAGUAGCAAAUAUUCAAAUGAGAACUUUAGAGGUUAAAUAAGAGAAAGGUUCCAUGUGAACGACACUUGCACAUGGGUUUGUCAAUCCUAAAAGACCAAAGAAGCCCAUCUGAUAGUGCAUCCAGCGUGAGCUUUGAAAGGGAAUCAAGUUAAAAUUCUUGAAUGGGGACACGAUAGCUAAUGGCAAUAUUAGGGAGUCUGAAGAUGUUUGGGUAGAAUUAUCUUUUAUGUUUAAUGGCCUGCCACCCUAAAAAAGACUCAGCCAGAGGUAGGGUCUAGCAGUAAGAAGAGCAUCGCACGUCGUAUGGUGUCUGGUGCACCCUCGGUGGCCUUUGAAAGUUUGAAGGUGCAAAUGCCAUUCGUGCUUGGUCAUACUCAUAACUACAUCAAGUUUCCAAGGUGAAUAGCCUUUAGUUAAUGGAACAAUGUAGGCAAGGGAAGUUGGCAAAAUGGAUUCGUAACCUCAAGAAAAAGAUUGGCUCUAAAGGCUGGGCAUGGGGGUCCUAGUCUUGAACCCAUAGGCUAUUGAUGCACUGCUCAACCUAUUCUUACUAUGAGAGCGGGUUGCCGUGUGCUGGCCUUGGGAUAGAUUAGGAAUGGCUCCCUCAGAAGCCUUCUUUAGGUGACGAACAAUCGACUCAUAACUAGUAUGGACAAGGGGAAUCUAAUUAUUUAAUUAAAACAAAGAUUACGAUGGUCCUUAUGGAUGCUUGGUCAAAGUGAUUUUUGCCCAGUGCUUUGAAUGUCAAAGUGAAGAAAUUCAACCAAUUACGAGUAAAUGGUAAGAGUAACUAUGGCUCUUUUAAGGUAGCUAAAUGCCUCAUCAUCAAAUUAGUGACAGGCAUGAAUAGAUUAAUAUGAUUCCUAUUGUCCAUGUCUGUUAUCCGGUGAAACCAUAGCCAAGGGAACAAGCUUGGCAGAAUCAAUAAGGAAAGAAGACCUUGUUGAGCUUGACUCUAGUCUGACUUUGUGAAAUGACUUGAAAGGUGUAUGAAAAAUGGGAGCCCUCAGGUGAAAUUGAAAUAGCAUUACUUUUAACAUUAUUUUCCUUAUUCCAUGAAUCAAAGGCAAGGCAUGACCCCUUAUUUUAGACCCAAGGCCAGCCUUAGUCGAUUCCAUGUAGAAGACAUUGUUAGGUAGGGAGUUUGGCUGGGAAGGCACAUCUGUUAAAAAGUAUUAUAAGUGUCCUAAGAUGAGCUCCAUAAGAAUACAAAUCUCAUGUGGAAUAAAAAGGUAAAAGCUUGUUUGAUUAUGAUUUCUAGUACAAAUAUGAACCAUGACAGCGUGGCCUAUUAAUCCUUUAGAGCUUCAAAAUUUAAAGCUAUAGGUGUCAAAAAAGUUACCAUAGGGAUAACUGGCUAGUGGUAGCCAACAUUCAUAGCAUUCAUAACCAAGUGUUGGAUUGUUCCCCCACCAAUAGGGAAUGUGAGCUGGGUUUAAACCAUUGCGAGACAGGUUAGUUUUACCCAGCUAAUGGUAGUGUCACAAUAGUAAUUUAACAUAGUACAAGAGGAAUCGUUGAUUUGCAUUAUUGGUCAUUGUACUUGGUUGAAAAGCUAGUGGAGCGAUGCUACUGUGCACAGGGUUAUGACUGAAUGCAUCUAAGUUAGAAUCUAAGCUAGAAGUAAUGCACGUGCCCACCAGCCAAUUGCCAACCCAUAGUAGAGGCCCAUGGGCCCCAAAGGCACAUGUUGUAGGUAUAGCCAAAGUGGUGGACAAGCUAUGCAGACCUCUUUAGAGCUUAAUUCCCACAAAGCAGUAGGUAGAAUC
rnacentral:rRNA from 1 species